AUAAUAUGCUUUUAUCGCAUGGUAGAAGUAUCAAAGCUCCGGCGGUACAGGAUGGACCCGCGUCUGAUUAGCUAGUUGGUAAGGUAACGGCUUACCAAGGCGACGAUCAGUAGCCGACCUGAGAGGAUGAACGGCCACACUGGAACUGAGACACGGUCCAGACUCCUACGGGAGGCAGCAUG
rnacentral:rRNA from 1 species